AUGAACGCUGGCGGCGUGCCUAAUACAUGCAAGUCGAGCGAACAGAUGAGGAGCUUGCUCCUCUGACGUUAGCGGCGGACGGGUGAGUAACACGUGGAUAACCUACCUAUAAGACUGGGAUAACUUCGGGAAACCGGAGCUAAUACCGGAUAAUAUAUUGAACCGCAUGGUUCAAUAGUGAAAGACGGUUUUGCUGUCACUUAUAGCUGGAUCCGCGCCGCAUUAGCUAGUUGGUAAGGUAACGGCUUACCAAGGCGACGAUGCGUAGCCGACCUGAGAGGGUGAUCGGCCACACUGGAACUGAGACACGGUCCAGACUCCUACGGGAGGCAGCAGUAGGGAAUCUUCCGCAAUGGGCGAAAGCUUGACGGAGCAACGCCGCGUGAGUGAUGAAGGUCUUCGGAUCGUAAAACUCUGUUAUUAGGGAAGAACAAAUGUGUAAGUAACUAUGCACGUCUUGACGGUACCUAAUCAGAAAGCCACGGCUAACUACGUG
rnacentral:rRNA from 1 species